UCCUGUUGGACUCUAGCUUCAAUCUGAGUUAAAAACACACAAGCAAUAGUUAUCGAUAUUAUGAAGCAAUAGCACAUAUAUUAAACAAAUCUAGAUUCAAAUACUAAUAAUACCACUACAGAGCUGUUGGCAAAGGCUUCCUCAACCACACUAGCACCCUCAGAGUUGGCUACAGGUUCGACGAAUUCUUUCUCAAUUGGAACCUUAAUUGAUUAUAAUGUACAUGCGUUAAAUCCAGAAUAACAGGAAAUCUAACAAUUCAGAAAUAAUCCUUUAACUAUCUGAAUAUCAUUAUUUUAAAAACCUAAUAAAUAUAACAAUCAAUUUGUUAACUAUAUAAAUUUGCCGAAUAGAAAUAUAUAGAUUUGCCGAAUUGAAUAUCAUUAUUUUACUAACCUAAUAAAGCUGACAUUCACUUGAAUAACCACACAAAUUCGCAGUCGGGCAAUACAUACAUUUCAAAGCAAGUAAAAUUCUGAAUAAAGGAAAACAGACCAAACGAAUAAAGGACCAAACGAAUAAAGGACCAAACCAAUUACCUCGUCACGAGUUCCCAGAUGAAGGUCGAAAGUAGGUAUUCCUUCUGUCGAUACCCUCUCACUCACCUUCUCAUUUUGUACCUUAUCAAAUGCUGCAUCAGCCGACGCAUGCAGCUCAGGAGAAUAAGAAAAUGGAUCAUCAUCAAUGGCCAUACCCUGAGGGCGACGCCAUGGUCGUGGGCCAUCCAUAUCCACCUUCAAUCCUGUAAUCGAACAUGCUGCAUCCACGCAUUGUCUAAAGUACGCUGACUCCCUGUCCACGAGGGAUGCACUGUAUAUCAAAUCCUCUAAAUCCUCCAGGU
rnacentral:lncRNA from 1 species